rnacentral:lncRNA from 1 species
GACUGCGACUACGACAAAUACAGGAUCUUCAUUUCCGUCUUCUGACGUGUCUUCUGGAACAUCAUACUCCACUGCGACAGCAACACAACAGCUUGAGUCAUCAGACCAUACUCAAGAGUCCAUCACAUCAAAUAAAUUGACAACAACAAUGAUUUCCCCUUCAACAACUCCAGACUCAGGUUCAUCCAUCUUCACAACAAUCUCAGAACCAAAUCCCCUCUCAACUACAAGUACAACCGAGUCUUACCCCGCCAUUCAAGCAACUACAGAACUGAAGAACACUUCUCUCAGCGACACUUCUGACUCAACAUCAAACCACCAAAGCACUGUUACUCAAAAAAUGGAGCCCUUAAACAAUGCCACUGCACAUGGGAUCAGUUCAACAGGAAGUGCUAAAACAACUAGCAUGGACACAUCAACAACAUCUGAGACACCUGCAAUGACUUCAAUUCAUGCAAACAAUGAUUCAAUUACCACCAUUGAUUCCAAUAAACAGAAGGAUGUAGAGCAAACAUCACACAGCAAUAUAUCCAUUUCUUGGACUGCUGGAACAUUAACUGGUACUCAAAACCCUGAGCCAACAACCGAAAUUUUCAUCAACAGUAGUGUCACGAAGCAGAUGGCAUUUUCUGAAUUGACAACUGCAACGAUUGCGUCUAUGACAUCUACAGGAUAUUCAUUUCCGUUCCCUGAUGUGUCUUUUGGAAGAUCAUACUCCACUGCGACAACAACACAAAAGAUUGAGUCAUCAGACCAUACUCAAGUCUCCAUCACUUCAAAUGAAUCGACAAUGACUCUUAGUGACACUUCUGACUCAACAUCAAACCACCAAAGCACUGCCACUCAAAAAAUGAGGCUCUUAACCAAUGCCACUGCACAUAGGAUCAGUUCAACAGGAAGUGCUAAAACAACUAGCAUGGACACAUCAACAACGUCUGAGACACCUACACUGACUUCAAUUCAUGCAAACAAUGAUUCCAUUACCACCAUUGGUUCCAAUACACAGAAUGAUGUAGAGCAAACCUCAGGCAGCAAUAUAUCCAUAUCUUGGACUGCUGGAACAUUAACUGGUACCCAAAAACCUGAACCAACUUCCGAAUCUUCAACCAACAGUAGUGACAUGAAGCAGAUGGCAUACACUUCUCUCAGCGACACUUCUUACUCAACAUCAAACCUCCAAAGCAUUGCCAUUCAAACAAUGGAGCCCUUAAACAAUGCCACUGCACAUGGGAUCAGUUCAACAGGAAGUGCUAAAACAACUAGCAUGGACAUAUCAACAACAUCUGAAACACCAGCAAUGACUUCAAUUCAUGCAAUCAAUGAUUCAAUUACCACCAUUGAUUCCAAUACACAGAAUGAUGUAGAGCAAACAUCACACAGCAACAUAUCAAUUUUUUGGACUGCUGGAACAUUAGCUGGUACCCAAAACCCUGAGCCAACAACCGAAAUUUUCACCAACAGUAGUGUCACGAAGCAGAUGGCAUUUUCUGAAUUGACAACUGCAACGAUUGCGACUACGACAACUACAGGAUCUUCAUUUCCAUCCCCUGAUGUGUCUUCUGUAACUACUUUCAGAGCAUCAACUCUACAUGGAACAUCUACAACAACAGCAACGCUGGUUUCCAACCAUCUGCAAACUCAGGGAACAGUUUCAAGACAAGCAGUGACAUCUGAUUCAAAAUCCACAUCUAUGAACACGCCCUCAAUGUUUCCAACCACUCAGGAAAACCAAAAAACGAACACUCAGACCUCCUUAAACCCAAUUUCUCCACCACCAUCUCCUCUCACAGCCACAAGCAAUGACUCAAAAUCCAUCACCAGUCCAUUAGCUCAUGAACACAGAGGCUCAACUUUGGGGAUAUUAACUCAAACGGGGCUAAACAGGUCUGAUUCAGAAGGUACUACAAUCAAAGACACCUGGUCAAACAACAUAUCUUCAACACCAGUAGGUCUAACAAACCCACCAUUGUCAAGCAAAACCAGCAGAGACGGAAAUGCAGAUAACUCUGCAAACUCAGUGAAAAGCACCACUGUUUUUGUCUUCAACACUCCCAAAGUACCUGUGUUUAAAACAAUCACCUUUAAUUACCCAUUGGUUAAUCAAGUCACAGUGAUGAAAACAGUUUCAAGACCAUGAAACGGUCAUAUAAACUGACUUAAAAGCAAAGUGUGUGAGUCAGAGAGCAUAUAUUUGUCUCUUCGACAAAUGUGGACGAGCCAAAAACAGAAACUUCCUGCUAAACGCAUCUUAAUGGAGACAGAUCUGGAAUAUAAGGAAUGUAGAAGCUGAAAUGUUUUUGUGGUUACUGAACGUCAAGCAGAUCAUAUGACUAAGUGCCACACACCCACAAACAAACAAACAAAGACUGAAACCAAAAUAAGAUGGAAGAACAGGUUUAAUGUUGGUUUAAUUAAGACUAACUUUCAUUUCAACAAUGUAUCAAAUAUAUUAAAGGUUGUACAUAGAAAUAGUGUAUGAUUAUUCUAUUUGUUGUAGUGCCACAGG